GGGUUUGUAGCUCACUUGGUUAGAGCGCUACAUUGACAUUGUAGAGGUAUGCAGUUCAAUUCUGCACAGACCCA
rnacentral:tRNA from 1 species